ensembl:antisense Pip5k1bos phosphatidylinositol-4-phosphate 5-kinase, type 1 beta, opposite strand
AGCAACAGGCAGGCUUCUGAACUAAACACACACCUGAUUUGGUUAUCUAGCUUGAGAGAAACUUCUGCCAUCCAGUUGGGUAAACGAAUGAGCUUUUGAGAGAAUGAACUAGUAUGUGAACAGAAGUGAACGCAAGCAGCCUUGGCUUCUGCAGACCACCACCAACUAGGGCUGCCAGGCAGUGAUGGUGACUAUUCUCAACAGACUGCAAAAUCCACAGUGAAUGUCAAAUUCCUUCCAAAGGAAAGGAUUGAUUCUGUUAUUGAGGUAGGGAGACAUAAGCAGUUCUGAUGUGAGAAAAGGGAAGAGGCUAAAGAGGAAAGUGACACACAAUGGGAGAAGGACCCAACCCUGCCCCUUGUCUUUGAAGAGGAUGGAAGGGGCCAUGAACCAGGAAUAAUCCACAAUUCUAGCAUUUGAAAUCUCGAUAUUUUCCUAUGUGACCCCUUUACAAAAAUCUUCAGGGGUACACACCAAGCACAGGGAGGUUGUGAUAAAGAGAGCUAAGUCAUGGGCCUUGUGGCAAGAAGAUCUGCUGCUCCGAUGGGAACCCCCUGGCCCCACCAUGCAGGAGGCAGGUCAUCACCUUAUAUUCAGUCUUUGCAUUAGAAAAUGAAGCAGCAUUGUUCACUAUGAGCAGGAACAACAGCUGCAGUGGAGUCUGGACACAGGGACAGAAAUGCC